rnacentral:lncRNA from 1 species
ACCUGAGUGUGUGAGUAGGCGACAACUCAAGAGUUCCAAGUCAACUUUUCACCUGGUGAGGAAGAGAAGGAAGCAAGACAGGGAUACAGAGUUGCCCAGGAGCCACACCAAGCUUGGGGACCCGGUGCAUGUCCCUCUCUGCCCAGCUGCCUGGUUCUGUGAGCCACAGCCAUCUUCUAAGAGAUCUGCAGUCAGUCAUGUGACCUUUCUCUGGUUCCACCACAGGACUUUCACUCCUCAUACCUCCCUGGGUACAGAAAAGGCAGGUGUGAGCUGCUUCCCCGUGACUGUCAUUGUUCACAAAAAACCA